CCUACGGGUGGCAGCAGUGAGGAAUAUUGGUCAAUGGACGUGAGUCUGAACCAGCCAAGUCGCGUGAAGGAUGACUGCCCUAUGGGUUGUAAACUUCUUUUAUAUGGGAAUAAAAUUUUCCACGUGUGGGAUUUUGUAUGUACCCUAUGAAUAAGGAUCGGCUAACUCCGUGCCAGCAGCCGCGGUACUACGGAGUAUGCGAGCGUUAUCCGGAUUUAUUGGGUUUAAAGGGAGCGUAGGUUGUUUUUUAAGUCAGCGGUGAAAGUUUGCGGCUCAACCAUAAAAUUGCAGUUGAAACUGGCAGUCUGGAGUGUAGUAGAGGUAGGCGGAAUUCGUGGUGUAGCGGUGAAAUGCAUAGAUAUCACGAAGAACUCCGAUUGCGAAGGCAGCUCACUAGGCUGCAACUGACACUGAGGCUCGAAAGUGUGGGGAUCAAACAGGAUUAGAUACCCGGGUAGUC
rnacentral:rRNA from 1 species